rnacentral:snRNA from 1 species
AUUCACAAACUAUGGUAUUUAU